CUUUUCACAUUCUCGUUCUGUCAUCGUGUUUGUUAAAGUCGGCUAGAGGCUAUUUCGAUUACCACAGCUAUCAUUAAGAAUAGUUUGAUGAAAAAAAUAUACUUUGGAUGGAAAAUCUAUAGUUUUGGAGUAUACAUAAACGUAUCAUAAAGACGUGAAUAAAAGUUAUAAACGAGAAAAAUCGAUAGUAUUUUAUAAAUACGCAAAGUAUAACACAAAGAUCUUAAUUUCUUGUUUAUGUACUCGCGCAAGUAAUUUAAUUGUGGCAUCGAAAGUGCGUUGCCGAAAGUUUCACAUUUGACCCCUACAUUUUAGAAUUCAGUAAAUAUACAUAUAUAUAUAUAGAAUUCAAUCAUGGUGGACGCAGCCCGUCAAAUGCUUGACGAACUUAUGGGUCGUAAUCGUAAUUUACAUCCAUCAGAGGCGCCACGUAAAAUAAGUUGGGAUGAUCCCGAUUUCUGCCAAUACUAUAUAGUUAAAUUCUGUCCGCAUGACCUUUUUAUUAAUACUCGAGCCGAUUUGGGACCAUGCACUCAAAUCCACGAUGACGAGGCGAAACGGAUGUAUGAUGAAGCACGCCCAUCCCCGCGAAAACGAUCUUACGAAGAUGAGUUCUUAAGGUUUUGCAAUAAUAUGUUAAAUGAUGUGGAUCGAAAAAUACAAAAAGGCAAACAGCGACUGCAGCUCAUGCAUCGUGAUCAGCCUAUACCAACAAUACCGCUGUCGAAGUACCAGGAGCAGCUGAAUAAUAUGAACGCUCGCAUAAAAAAGUUACUCUCCGAAGCAGAGGAAGCUGGCAUACGUGGUGAUGUUGAUCAGGCCAAGGAUCUUAUGGCGCUGUGCGAGCAAUUGAAAGAUGAAAAGGAGGCAUUGGUCGCCCAGCAUGAACAACAGCAACAAAUACACCAACAGGCAAAUGGAGCGCUUAAAGAAGUUUUAACUACGCCACCAUCGGACACCAGCAUUGAGAAAUCCGAAUGCGAUAAAUCACCAAAAAAUGAAGAAAGUUCGAGCGCCAGUGGCAGUGAAAAGAAAAUGCUGCCUUGGAUGCAGGAUUUGGGGACCCUACCAGAGAAGCAAAUGGAAGUUUGUGAAAUCUGUGGGGCGUUUCUCAUUGUUGGCGACGCUCAACAGCGUAUCGAAGACCAUCUCAUGGGCAAACAACAUCUGGGGUAUUCGCGCUUGCGCAAAGCCGUAGAAGAAAUACACGAGCGCAGGCAAAAGGAUAGAGAAGAGGAGGAGCGCAAGAGACGUGAGGAACGUGAGCAACGCAGCGCUCAACGUAGCAGUUAUAGCCAUCAUAACGACCGUAGACGCGAGCAUCAUGAUCAUCGUGAUCGCGAAUGUGAACGUGAACGUGAGCGUGAUUAUCGUGGACGUUCACGCGAUCACAGCAACCGACACUCAGCAGAUAGACACCGACAUCAUCAUAAAUCAACUCAUCGCAGACGAUCGCAUUCGCGCAGCAGUCAUCGUCGCAGCAGUCGGGAUCGUCAUAGUCACAGCCGGAGCCGUAGUCGCAGCCGCUAUUAAUUACACGCAUUCGUACGUGGCGGAUUGAGGUACUCUCCCCAAAAACAAACUAUAUAACUUAAAAAUCUAGCAUAAUCUAAAUAAAAGAAUAUUCUCAAUUCGUAGAACAAGGAGCAGAGACAUUCAUGCACAUUGAAGGCGUUGCAGCGUAACUGCCUGUAACGCUAGCCAGCGGUUUGCUCUACUUAACUCCAUGAGACUCUACUCUCAGUUGGCAUUAGUUGCCGAAAUGCCGCCGUGAAUUGCCGUAGGUUGUGCGAUUGUCAGGCUAUAAAAUCCUUUACUUUGGCAACGUCAUUUCGAGCGUGAAUUUAUUUACAAAAUGAAGAUAAGUGACUAUAGUCACACAUACGCACACGAGUGACUGAAUGUCCUCCAGAACCCAGUUCUUUUGCGACUACAAGACCAGUCCUCUUCGAACCAACUCUAUUACAAGAUUUUAAGUGACCCGCGUACGCAUUCAUUCGUACGCCAGUUCGCUCCUUCGUUCGUACGCUCAGUAAACUGCGCACACAUUCACCCAUACCGAGUAGGAGAAAAAGAUUUUGUGUGUUGGGAAGUUAUAAAGUAAUGUGGUGGAAGUGAAGGGAUUGAAGUUGAUGUGUGAUUUAGUGGAAAACUCUGUUUUUUCAUACCCGCUUUACAAAGAAAUCACCAACAAGAAUACAGCGAAUCAUCGAGCAACUACAAUCAACACUCGUUCAAACAAUCGUUACUACCUUCCUUUGUUCGUGUGGUGCAACAUGAGCCAUCAAACUGGCAAAAGCCCCAACUCAUUGCAGGUAACAGACACCUUCCAAAAUCAACAUUUCUUUCAAACACAAACAGUUGAGCAGAACAGCCAAGCAACCGGUUACCCCAUCAGCAACACGAAGCGGCACUUAGCACAACAAAGAAUGCAACUAGGUACUUCCAACGUCGGCGUCCGGACGGUCUGCCAGUACGCCAGUUGUUAGGUCACCAUAAAGCCAAAAAACAAGGUGAUUUUUUAACUAUUGAGUUUAUGCUUGAGUUUUCUUAUACAUAUUUUUAUUAUUGAAAAACAACAGAAAAAAUGGCAAAUGGUAAUUCGUUUCCAAGCAAAUUGCCUACUAUACUACGUAUGUUAUUUUUCUAAUAUUGUAACUUUUUAACUUUUUUGCAAUUAAGCGUGAAUUGUAAUUGAAAAAUAAUACAACGUCACUUUGCAAUUUGUUGCUUUAUUUUCGGCCGCCAUAGGCGACUUAUUACAGAUUGAAUUACUAGGUUUCGUAUUUCAAAUUGAACUUUUUUGAAUUCAUAUUAUAAAUUAGUCAAACUCGUUUUUUUAACAUCCAAAUCGGCAAAAUUAUGUAAGAGCCUUGAAAAUUAAAUGAACAAUUUUAUAAAAAAGUUAAAAAGCUAAACAACUUGUAAUAUAAAAAUAAUACACGCUUUUCGCGUUUCUUUAUAAAAACGCACGCAGACAUAUACGUUAUCCGAUUUUGUAGGUUUAAUUAAAGUAGCAUAGUUAUUUAUGAAACGAAGAUGGGUACAAAAUUUUCAAUAAAAUAUGCAGAUUUGAAAAAAAG